AUUGAACGCUGGCGGCAUGCUUUACACAUGCAAGUCGAACGGCAGCGCGGGCUUCGGCCUGGCGGCGAGUGGCGAACGGGUGAGUAAUGCAUCGGAACGUGCCCAGUAGUGGGGGAUAGCCCGGCGAAAGCCGGAUUAAUACCGCAUACGACCUGAGGGUGAAAGCGGGGGACCGAAAGGCCUCGCGCUAUUGGAGCGGCCGAUGUCGGAAUAGCUAGUUGGUGGGGUAAAGGCUUACCAAGGCGACGAUCCGUAGCUGGUCUGAGAGGACGACCAGCCACACUGGGACUGAGAAACGGCCCAGACUCCUCGGGGAGGCAGCAGUGGGGAAUUUUGGACAAUGGGGGCAACCCUGAUCCAGCCAUGCCGCGUGCGGGAAGAAGGCCUUCGGGUUGUAAACCGCUUUUGUUCGGGAAGAAAUCCUCUGGGCUAAUACCCCGGGGGGAUGACGGUACCGGAAGAAUAAGCACCGGCUAACUACGUG
rnacentral:rRNA from 1 species